rnacentral:sRNA from 1 species
GCUGGGUGUGGUGGCACACGCCUGUAAUCCCAGCUACUCAGGAGGCUGAGGCAAGAGAAUCACUUGAGCCCAGGGGGCAGAGGUUGCAGUGAGCUGAGGUCACACCACUGCACUCCAGCCUGGGCAAUAGAGUGAGACUCUGUCUCAA